rnacentral:misc_RNA from 1 species
GAUGAAGAACGUAGCGAAAUGCGAAAAGUAGUGUGAAUUGCAGAAUUCAGUGAAUCAUCGAAUCUUUGAACGCACAUUGCGCCCGCCAGUAUUCUGGCGGGCAUGCCUGUUCGAGCGUCAUUUCAACCAUCAAGCCCCAGGCUUGUGUUGGGGACCUGCGGCUGCCGCAGGCCCUGAAAACCAGUGGCGGGCUCGCUGUCACACCGGGCGUAGUAGAUUUUAUCUCGCUCUGGGCGUGCUGCGGGUUCCGGCCGUUAAAAAACCCUUUUAACCCAAGGUUGACCUCGGAUCAGGUAGGAAUACCCGCUGAACUUAAGCAUAUCAAUAGCGGAGGA